rnacentral:lncRNA from 1 species
UCUUGAAAGCACAUGCUUCGAACAAAUGUCAUGAGAGACUAUCAUCGAAGCCACACCCGAUCUAGGCAUGGCAUUGGGACAGUCCCUCAAGGCUGCACAUCUUCUCUUCCCACAAGUAGGAUGGCUAUUUUCAAUACCUCCUAAGCUAAACUAAAACCCAUUAAGCGACCCCCCCUUUCUUAGAUGACAUGCAGCAAGUGCGGCU